rfam:Ictidomys tridecemlineatus contig068579, whole genome shotgun sequence.
GGGGCUGUAGCUUAGUGGCAGAGCACUUGCCUAGCAAGCAUGGGGCACUGGGUUUGAUCCUUAGCACCA